AUUUUUGUAGAGAUGGAGUCUCCCUAUGUUGCCCAGGCUGAUCUUGUACUCCUGGGCUUAAGCAAUCCUCCCUCUUAGGCCUCCCAAAGUCCUGCGAUUACAGGCAUGAGCCACCAUGCCAAGCCCCUUCUUUUUAUUAAUCUCAUCUCUAACCACAGUCUCAACUCCACAACCAUACACUGUAUACUUAUUCUUCAAUGAAUGUCACAUCUUUUCUUUCUCUGAGUUUUUACAUAAUGUUUAUUCUUCUCAGAAUGACACUCUCUUUUCUCUUCUUCUUUCUUUAAAACCUGCCUGAAAGCUUACCUCCUUAAGAAGACCUUGACCGCUUUCCCUAGGAAGAGCUCAUUUUCCACCUCUCUGCUGGCUUCAACACCUUAUAACAACUAGAUAUGUAACAUUUAUCACAUUGUACAGUGAUUAUUUGGGUUUUUUUUUUUUUGCCAACACAUCAGAGGAUUUCAAGCUAUUGUUUUAAGCCAUUCAAAAUUAUUCAAUGAACAUUUGUGGAAGCCCCAAAUAUAAACUAUAAGUAAAUGGUUUUUUCAACUGAGGCAGGGAUAAGUGUUUUAUUAUCCCUCUAGAAUUUCCUCAGAGACGAAUCCAAAAUGAUCCCAAGUUGGCAUCAUCUGCAGUCCAAAAUGAUACAUUAAUAAAAUAUACAUCAUGAAUUCAGUACUGGUAGAAGUGAAAUUACUUCCCAACACAGCCAUUCUUUUUGUUUUAUUUUUAAUUUUUAUUUUAAGUAAAAAAAAAAGUAAAAAGUUUUUUUUUUCUUUUUACUUUUAUUCAGGGGAACAUGUGCAGGUUUGUUAUAUAGGUAAAUUGCACAUCACAGGGGUUUGAUAUACAUAUUAUUUCAUCACCCAGUUAAUAAGCACGGCACUUGAUUGGUAGCUUUUUGAACAUCACCAUCCUUCCACACUCCACCCUUGAGUAAGCCCUGGUGUCUAUUGUUUCCUUCUUUGGGUCCAUAUGUACUCAGUGUUUAGCUCCCACUUAUAAGUGGGCACAUGUGGUAUUUGGUUUUCCGUUUCUGUGCUAGUUCGCUGUAGGUAAUGACCUCCAGUUGCAUCCAUGUUCCUCAAAAAGAGUUCUCCUCCCUCUUGGUCUCUCCAACAUCUGAGUUACCAUUGAGGAAUUUGUUGACCAUCAUCGUUUCUUGCCGCCUUGCUGCAAUUGCCUCCAACAUGUUCUCUUUGCCUCUGGUCUUUUUAUUCUCCAAUACAACCUCCACAGUGAUUCUAAAUUGAAUCCAUGUGAUCAGCAUAAAUUUGGAUAAGUUUCUUUCACUUCCAAGCUUUGGUUUUCUCGUUUUUAAAAUCAUGCCUCUUAACUAGAUACUCUCAAAGGGCGAUUCAGCUCUGAAAGUUUCCAAACAUUCCUGGAGAUUGAGCUUUCGGAAAAAAUGAGCAAAUCUCUCAUCUCCUUUGGAAGAUGAGCAUGAUUUUGAAAUGUUUCAUCUGAAGUCAGCUUGUACAUGAAAAUCUCACUUUAAAUGUUAAUGGUACUCUUGCUUGGAGUCUUUCUGCUUAAUCUCUGAAGUCAUCUCAUGUGUUUGUGGGACAGAAUCAACGGAGUCUCAGGGUAAAGUCAUUGAUGACGAGUGGCAGAAAUUCAGCUUGCAGUGAAUGUAAUUUCAAUCUCUUCUUGCUAAACGUAAGCCUUUGUCAUCAGAAUGUCUGAACUGGCCGUGUGUCCCUGGGAAACACAUGCAAAUUCUUAUUGUCUCAGUUUCUGCACCAUGCCUUGGGUCUGUCACUCCUGACUUCCAAGGAGUUCAGAUUGUUUUCACACAUGUUAUCCAGUUUAUGCUCCUGACAUAUGUGUUUCCACUGUAAACAACUGUGCAUGAAAAGAGAAAGAAAGAAAAUGACAGUUGUUGACUUUCCACUGGAAAGGAUGGGGUAAACUACAACAAAGACAUUGUCAUUUAGAAGAAGUAAAAAGAGCUCUUGGACUACUUGUGCUAAAGCGUUUCCACUUGGAAAUGGCAGCUGCAGGCCAGAUGGUCAUUUGUGGGCAGAUAGAGCUGGGAAACUAAGCAUGGCUUGUGAUGAGAAAGAGAAGAAAAUACAAAAACAAAACUUGCUUUCCUUUGGAAAAUAUUGCCUCAGCCUGCUGAGGGAAUUUACCUCAUCAGUAACCACAGUCAAAGUGAUUUUGAAUAUGAAGAUGAGCCUCCUACUUCUUAUCCUCAAACAACAGCAACAACAACAAAAAACCUGUGGAUUCCCUGUAGUGCUCCUAUUUCUGGCACUAAGCCAGGUGAUGAGUUGUCUUCAAUGACAACAUAACUCAAAGACAAGAUGAUAUUAGGAUUCAAAGGUUUUCAUCUAUGAAGAUUUGGUUUACAUAAAGGAAACAUUUUUUAGGAGACUUACACUUUUUUUCAAGGCCGCAAUUGUUGGCCUUACCUUCAUGAUGCAGACUCCCUUAUUUUAGAGUUCCUUAAGGCCAAGCACCCUGUCUUAGUCACUUUUGUAGGGCUGACACUUGCUAUGUGUUCAACAGAUGGUGUGUGUGUGUGUGUGUGUGUGUGUUUGUGUGUGUGUGUAUUGACGAGAGAGAGAAACAACAAAACAAAUGAAGGAGAAGGGAAAGUGGAGAAGAGGGCAAGAAGGGUAUGGGACAUAGAAGAAGGAGGGAGCAAAGGAAUGAAGAAGGCAGAACAGAGCAUGAAAACAGAAGCCAGGUAGAAGCACAAACUUUUCAAUAGAUGGCAACAGGGGAAAGUUUCAGCCUCCUCAGCAGAUGAUUAAAGAACAAGUGGACAGCUGCAGCUUUCAGAGGCUAUCAAGACAGAUGACCAUUGUAUACACAUGAGUCCCAGGAACUGUGGAGUACAGGGCUGUAGAACAAGAAGAAAAGUCCUGAAUGGGCCUCAGCCUUAUACCUGAAUUGACUGAAAUUACCUGGAAGUGGCUAGAUCAAGUGAUCUGUGGCUAGAAGAAUGGAGAGUCAGGAUAGAAAGUCGGUUAUAGGAAAAGUAAAGCCAGUUUUCGCAUACUUGAAGUUUUAACAUAAGCUACAUGCUCCACAAAGUGCUUUCCAUUUAAUUCAUUUGGUCAAGUAUUUGUUGAGAGCCCAAUAUGAUAUCUGAAAAGCCAUAUUCCUAUCAUGUGUAAAAUUUUCUUGCUUUGACUUUGAAAUUAAAUUGACCAGGGGCCCUCUCAAUGGUGAUUAAGAUAUCACUUUUCUAAAGAUAGGAUCUUGAAGAGAAAAAUCUCUCAAAUACUUUCCAGCUAUAGGGAU
rnacentral:lncRNA from 1 species